rnacentral:rRNA from 1 species
AUUGAACGCUGGCGGCAGGCCUAACACAUGCAAGUCGAGCGAGUGGCGGACGGGUGAGUAAUGUCUGGGAAACUGCCCGAUGGAGGGGGAUAACUACUGGAAACGGUAGCUAAUACCGCAUACCAUCGGAUGUGCCCAGAUGGGAUUAGCUAGUAGGUGGGGUAACGGCUCACCUAGGCGACGAUCCCUAGCUGGUCUGAGAGGAUGACCAUCCACACGGGAACUGAGACACGGCCCAGACUCCUACGGGAGGCAGCAGUGGGGAAUAUUGCACAAUGGGCGCAAGCCUGAUGCAGCCAUGCCGCGUGUAUGAAGAAGGCCUUAGGGUUGUAAAGUACUUUCAGCGGGGAGGCGUUACUCGCAGAAGAAGCACCGGCUAACUCCGUGCCAGCAGCCGCGGUAAUAC